AUUGCCUUUAUUUAUUUAUUUCAGAGCUUGUAUGCCACUUGAGCCAGGCUGGUAGUGAUUUACAUUAGUUGUGCCACCUAGUGGCAUUGGAAGUGUAGUGCACAACUGACAGAUGUAAGUUCAAUUACAAUUAUUUAUAUAGUGGCAAGAUAUUCUGCAGCGCUGUACAAUAGGUAAACAAGACAAAAAUUUAAUUCUAAUAAAAAUGUUUGAAUAUUGGAACGCAAUAAGCUUACA